UCGUUUGAGAGAGGAACGAAUUUGGGGAGGCUGAUACAUAGUGGAUGCGGCGGGCGCUCGAUACAGGCGAGGCGGGCGGGCGGCCAGCGAAUGGAUCCAGCCACGCGCGAGGGAAUCGGGGGCCGGUCGAUCCAGCCGUCGGGCGAUCCACGAGGGAGGUAGGAAGAGGAGUAAUGGUGCCUCAUCUUUCGGAAACUGCUCCACUCAGAUUUCAAACACACAAUUACACUUCAGUUUCUAAGCACACAUAGAAAGAGAUUGAUGAGGAUGCAGUGCGCGGAGCAGCCGUUUCUACAGAACAUUAAUGCAUUAUUAAUGGAGUAGGGGUGCGCCACACGACGGAUGGUGGAGGUCAGUUAUUGUCGCCCAAGUGUUCGGGACUGGUUCUGCCUUAUUGGUUCAACAAAUUUAUGUAGGGUGUUUCUAGGGUUAUUUUUGUUCCUACAUUCUGAAACUGAGGAUCCCAAUCGCUGCUGGAAGGUUGUUUAGGACGGCAGAUCCUUACACGCAAGCAUAAUGUUGUUCUACACACUCUUAGUUUGUUCUUAUAUGAUAAAAUGACAUAUCUAAUGUCUGUAGAGUUCUUGCAAAGAAGAAAGCAUUAUUGAAUGUUUGGUGCUCCCAGUGUGUGCCUGAUUGUAGGGGUACAUUACAGUUUCACUGCAUAAGACAUGGAGAUGGGGGUUGUGGUUUCGCCUAUUGUGCCUCGGCGCCAACUCGGCUUUAGGCGCCAGCAGUGCGAGCACCACGAAAUGACCACCAUUGGAGGCAGCUGGAGAAAGAAUCUACACCGUGGACGUCCUUUUCCUUUUCUCCAAUCGAGAGAGCCACUGCAGUUCCCAAAGUGGUCUGUCUUCACAACAUCGACCAGGAAAGGAGUCUCCAGUUUAGUCUUCUUUGGUUACUUCAGAUUGUACCAUAAUUAAACGGCUUCUGGCAUUCCAGUUAACUAAAAGUCUCUUCCUUUUGCACUCUAUCUACACCUUCUCCUUUGGGGUUAUUGGAAUUAUUUUCAGUAUGAUUGAAUUGGUUGUUCCAAGUGUACAAUGUAUGUUGGUGAUAGGUUUAUAACUGAUUCUUUAUUUUUUACAAGCUUGAGCAGAAAGAACAAGGACAUAGCUUUUUGUUUACAAAGCCUGGCCAGCCUGACAACUUUAGUUGAAUGAUCUGAUCCCGAAGCAAGCUUUCUGGGUUUAAGGCCAACUAAAUAUUCGACUCAAGUACCCCUCUUCCUAUUUAGUGUAGGGGUUAAGGCCAGAACUGACUUGAUAAGCUCUUCUGCUCACCACACACUGACCCCAUUCACUCUUUUCUGCAUAACUGAACCACUGCAGAACACCAGGUAAGAGGAACCAAAGAAAUGUGAGCCUAAGACAUGAUGUUAACAUCAUUGAUGUGGAUUUGUUUCUUAUACUAUUGUACCUGCACAUUUCUCCCUUAAAAUUCCAAAAACCUCAAAUUUAAAUAUGGUAACACUAGCACUAUAUCUUAGUUUGUUUAUAAUCUGCAUAUUUCUAAUCGUCAUACCCUUCUCGGUAUUUUUUAUCUGGUACCUUUUCAUUUUCAGUGGAACCUACAAGUAUUAUCAUUAUUUAUUUUCUCCCUCACAACUUGUAUCAUAUGAAAGUUGCUUUACAUGUUAGUAUCUUCCUGCAGAAAGAGCUGCAUAUACUGGACACUUGAGAGGUGGUUUGACUGACCGUGAGUGUGGUUACACUAAUCAAUCAUUGCAUAAUGCUUUUUUUUUUCUGGUUUUCCAGUCUGCAUGCUUUGCGACUUUGCAUGUUCCUAGAUGUGAAGAUAUCUAUUUAGAACUAUUGUAUAUUGCUCUCAUGACGGCUUCACCUGCAACCGAUUUAUGUAUAUAUGAUGUAUCUAUCAUUCUCAAACUUUGUAUUACAAAUUUUUGUGAC